rnacentral:rRNA from 1 species
GACGAACGCUGGCGGCGCGCCUAACACAUGCAAGUCGAACGAGCGAGAGAGAGCUUCCUUUCUCGAGCGAGUGGCGAACGGGUGAGUAACGCGUGAGGAACCUGCCUCAAAGAGGGGGACAACAGUUGGAAACGACUGCUAAUACCGCAUAAGCCCACGGCUCGGCAUCGAGCAGAGGGAAAAGGAGCAAUCCGCUUUGAGAUGGCCUCGCGUCCGAAUUAGCUAGUUGGUGAGGUAACGGCCCACCAAGGCGACGAUCGGUAGCCGGAACUGAGAGGUUGAAACGGCCACAUUGGGACUGAGACACGGCCCAGAACUCCUACGGGAGGCAGCAGUGGGGAAUAUUGCACAAUGGGGGAAACCCUGAUGCAGCGACGCCGCGUGGAGGAAGAAGGUCUUCGGAUUGUAAACUCCUGUUGUUGAGGAGGAUAAUGACGGUACUCAACAAGGAAGUGACGGCUAACUACGUGCCAGCAGCCGCGGUAAAACGUAGGUCACAAGCGUUGUCCGGAAUUACUGGGUGUAAAGGGAGCGCAGGCGGGAAGACAAGUUGGAAGUGAAAUCCAUGGGCUCAACCCAUGAACUGCUUUCAAAACUGUUUUUCUUGAGUAGUGCAGAGGUAGGCGGAAUUCCCGGUGUAGCGGUGGAAUGCGUAGAUAUCGGGAGGAACACCAGUGGCGAAGGCGGCCUACUGGGCACCAACUGACGCUGAGGCUCGAAAGUGUGGGUAGCAAGCAGGAUUAGAUACCCUGGUAGUCCACACUGUAAACGAUGAUUACUAGGUGUUGGAGGAUUGACCCCUUCAGUGCCGCAGUUAACACAAUAAGUAAUCCACCUGGGGAGUACGACCGCAAGGUUGAAACUCAAAGGAAUUGACGGGGGCCCGCACAAGCAGUGGAGUAUGUGGUUUAAUUCGACGCAACGCGAAGAACCUUACCAAGUCUUGACAUCCUGCGACGCACAUAGAAAUAUGUGUUUCCUUCGGGACGCAGAGACAGGUGGUGCAUGGUUGUCGUCAGCUCGUGUCGUGAGAUGUUGGGUUAAGUCCCGCAACGAGCGCAACCCUUAUGGUCAGUUACUACGCAAGAGGACUCUGGCCAGACUGCCGUUGACAAAACGGAGGAAGGUGGGGAUGACGUCAAAUCAUCAUGCCCUUUAUGACUUGGGCUACACACGUACUACAAUGGCGUUAAACAAAGAGAAGCAAGACCGCGAGGUGGAGCAAAACUCAGAAACAACGUCCCAGUUCGGACUGCAGGCUGCAACUCGCCUGCACGAAGUCGGAAUUGCUAGUAAUCGCAGAUCAGCAUGCUGCGGUGAAUACGUUCCCGGGCCU